GGGGGCGAGCGUUGUUCGGAUUUACUGGGCGUAAAGGGCGCGCAGGCGGCUCAUUUUGUCAGGCGUGAAAGCCCCGGGCUUAACCUGGGAACUGCGUUUGAUACGGAUGGGCUAGAGUUCGGGAGAGGAGAGUGGAAUUCCCAGUGUAGAGGUGAAAUUCGUAGAUAUUGGGAAGAACACCGGUGGCGAAGGCGGCUCUCUGGACCGAGACUGACGCUGAGGCGCGAAAGCGUGGGGAGCAAACAGG
rnacentral:rRNA from 1 species